UAACCAAAUCUUUUUCGAAAAUUGUAAUAAAUUGGGCGAAUAAUUAAUUUGGUUUUAUUUUUAACGUUUUAAAUUUGGUUAAAAUUUAUACCCGUUUAUAAAAAUUAUUAUAUAUACGUUUUAAAUAAUUUAUAAAAUCCGCAUAACGGUACGCGCCGUUUUUACCGUUUAUUUUAUAAUUAAAACGGACCAUUUUUUAAACGGACGCGUUAAAUGCCGCCUAUAAAUACUUAUAUUAAUUGCGGUAAUUAUUUAUAAAAUCGGCGUCGCGGCGGAAUUUAUAUUUUAUAAUAUAUUAUUAAAUUAUAAACGAAAUUAAAACGCCGUCGUAUAACGGCGGAUUUUGGAAUUGUUUACGUUUCGGCGACGCCGUUAUUAAUAAUAUUUUUGCGAUAAUUACCGCCGUCAGGGUUUUUGUUUUUAACUUUUGCAUUUUUUUUAUAAAUCCGCGAUUACCCGCGAUAAUUUUUAAAACGCGGCGCCGGGCAUUUAAACGACAAUUCUUUCCAUAAAUGGCGACUUUAUUAAUCGUAUAAAAAAAAUAAAAAUAAACGGUAGUAAAUAUUAUUAAAUAGGCCAACUAUUAUACGACGGUUGGGUACCCGAAAGGAAUUAUUAUUAUUGUUAAAGAAAAAAGGAAAAAAAGGGGUACGGAAAAGGUUUUGACGGCCCUCCCUCCCUUAUAUAUAAUAUAAAUUAUUACGUGGUCCCCGCUGCUAUUUAUAUACGAAAAUACGUGCAAUUAGCACGAAUUUGCAACAUAAAUAAAUAUUAUUAAGACGUUUUAUUAUUUAUUCCCAGAACAAAUAUAUAUAAAAUGCUUUUAUUUUAAAUAAUAUAAAAUAUUAUAAUAUAAAAUAUAUUUUGGGAAAUAAUCUAUCCAGUAACUACGGAAACCUCCGAAGAAUUACCCUAAUACUAGGCUAGUAAAUAUUAUAAACCAAUAAAAAAAAAUAAUAUAUAUAUAAUAAUAGGCCUAAUUAUAUUGCGGAUAAUAAUUUUACAAUUGUUUUAUUUUUACCCGUAUAUUGCAAAUAAUUCGGAUAAUAACUAACUACAUAUAUAAUAUUACCGUUAUAUUUUUCGUUUUCCUUGUAAUAUAAGAAGUGGGUUAUAAAUACCGUAAUAGAGGUAGCUUUUAUACCAGAAUAGUAUUUUUAUUUUUUUUAAAAAUAGUUUAGCGUUUGCGGUUACUUUUAAUAUUUUUAAGGUUAAAAAACUAAAUUUACACGGUAAAUGUUAUCUUAAUAUUUAAAAUAAAUUUAUAUGCGUCGCAAUAUAAACCCAAUAUUAUAUAUAUAUUAUUAGUUAUAUAAUUACUCGAUUAAUUAAACUAACCAGCACGGCCCCAGUGGUUGCAAAUAUUAUAUACGGAAUUUGAUUUACGGUUUAAAAUCACGAAUUAAACCACUUUUAAUUAGAAAUCCCGCUUUAUUAAUAUAAUAAUAAACUUUAAAAUCACCAAAACGUUUUAUUAUUAUAUAUUAUAAUAAUUGCUCCGUUUAUAAUCAAGCCAACGUACCGCAUCACUUGCUUUAUUAUUUAAAUUGCAGAUAAAUUAAUAUUAUUAUUUAGCAAUAAUUUCCUUUUUCUUUAACCGAUUUCUUUUUUGUAAGUAUAAAACUAUUACCAAUUCUUAUAUUAGUAUUAUAACUGUUACGUGGGAAUUAUAACGAUUAGACUAAUAUAUAAUCUAAUAAUUAAACGUAAUAAUUAGUACAAUUCAAAAAUUAUUUUACAUUUGUUUAAUUAUAAUUAUUAAAAAUUACCUAAAGAUUUAUUUAAUCGGAUAAAAUUAUUUAAUUUAACCCACCCAGUCAAAACUUCAUCCGAUUAAAAAGAAAAUAACUUUUUCCCAAUAAAUGCGCAAUAUAAUUAUAUUUUAAACCUGGUUGAAUGCGGGUAAUUAACUCAAUCCAAUUAAAAUAAUAAUUAUAGUUUUAGCACUUAAUUCCCAAGUUGUAAUAAUAAUUACAAUUGCAAUUGCAAAUCGCAAUAUUCUAGCGAAAAGAAUAAGGAAAUAAAGGAAUUAUAGCACCGGUAAACUUUAUUUUAAAAAAAUAUAUACCCCCCAACGCGAAGUUUCCCGCUAAUCUUAUAAUUAGACCGCAAAGGAUUUCCCGCAUUAAAAUAUUUGAACAAUUCAAAAAUCAUUUAAUAAAUUCAAGUCCGGUCCGUUAAACGAAAAUAAAAUUUUACCAAUUACAAAAAAACCGCCAAUUAUUAUAAGUUAACGCAAAUUCUUAAAAUAUUAUACGGGUAAUAUUAUGGUUAUUUUUAGUUACGAAUCGACCGAUACUUCUAUAUAAUAUACGGAUAUUUUAAAUAAAUGUUUCCCCAUUUUUUUAUUAAUGGUAAUUAUUAUUAAUAGUUUUAGUUAUUUGCUACACCUUUUCUAUUUUAUUAUAAUAAUUGUUACAAUUGGGGUUUUUUAAACGCUUUCUUCCAAAUUGUUAUAAUAAUUAUUAUUUUUGCUAUUUAAUUAAUUUUUGUAAUGGCGGACGUGUUUAGGUUUUCAACGGACUUUAAAAUUAUUAAUUCCACUAAAUUAAUUACGAGUAAUAUAUUACCCGUUUAGCAAAGAAAUUUAAUUUCCGCACGAAAUAUAUCCCGGGAUACAAAUAUUAUAUCAAUUUUUAAAGAUUUCGUUAGUUAAUAUUAAUUAGUUGCGAUUUCCCCUUUUAUUUGCCGAAAUGAUAUUAAUUUCUUUAUUUAAAAAUAGUUACCGAUAAAUUAAAAUCUGUCUUAAUUUCCAUUAAGUUUAUGAUUAUAUUACUUUGUUAAUAUAAAAUAAUAGCCGGCCGUAAUGCGUAAUAUGGGGGUUUAAAAUAUAAAUCCCCCGAUUUAGAAUUUUAAAUAUAUGACGGUUUCCAUACCGAUAAUUAAUUUCGAGCGUGUUAUUUUUUAUUCAGUAUUUUGUUAAACGAACAAAAUUAUUAUCGGCGAUAAAAAAAAGUCCCAGCUAAUUUAAAAACGGUCACCGGAAUUUUUUAAAUUUAAUACUAAAUAAUUCUUUACGUUAUUUAAAAACGCCGAUUAUUUAAUAAUUAUUAUUAAUGUUUUUUAUUUUAAAUAAUUUGCAUUCAAUAAAGUUCAAAUCUUGUUUUAAUAUUUGUGCGCGGGGAAAUUAAAUUAUAAUUGUUACGAAUUUAUUGGGUUGUAAUCGAAAUUAUUACAACGGGAUAAUAAUAAUAUUUAAUAAUAAAUCUUUCGUUGCAUUUCGAACCGACCGAAAUUAAACAGUUUGGAAAACGUGUAAAUUAAAUUCAAAUAUACCCGCUAAAUCUGUUGAAAUAGAAAAUAUUACUGAUAAUUCAUAUAAUAACCCCGUCUUUUUCGUUUUAUUAUUACCAAAUCCCAAAUUAGUAUUAUUUAAUUUUAUCUAAUAUUUUUCGGGUAUAAUUAAUAAACGAAGUUUUUUUUAGUUUAAUACAAAUUUAAUUAAUUAUCGCGAAUUGAUUGUCCGAAGAUAAUAU
rnacentral:sRNA from 1 species